UAUCUUAAUUUGUGUUCUGAAGAUGAACGAAGGUCUUACUGGUGUGGAACGGCAUGAGCUGAAGGCAACCGAUGAGUCCAGAUCUCUGUAGACACCCGAGCGGCUGCGCUCUUGCCCGAGCAGAAUGAAGCCGUCACCGGACAAUACGUGCCCCUCGGCUACUCCAGGCACUCUGGCAACGUUCUCUCCAUUCACCCAUAAAGUGGCCAGCCCCUGCUCCGAGCUCCAGGCAGCACAGAAGUGUCCCCACUGGCCAUCUGUUACUACGCUGUGGGCUUCCACUAGAUGGGUCUCACCGCCCACCGUGAGGAGCACCGAGCGCCUUGCCAAGAGAAGCUGGAGCUCUUGAGGUUUUUUCUUGGUUCCGUAAGAGAAAAGCACUGUUUUAUUUAGAGACUGAGUCACUUUGGCCCACAGACAGAUGGUGAAUGAUUGUAGGGACAUGGACAUGGAGGGUGAUACCUCUGCAAAGAUAUGCUUGGAGCGCAUUGGGAAUAAUAAAGCCAUUUCACAGCCUUAAAAAAAGGAGAAUGAGAGUUAGUAAAGAACUAAAGAUUAAUUAUUGCGCUAAAUCAGCAUGCAAAUACUGACAAAGUACAGUGUUUGGAGGUAUUUGCAAAGUAUUUAUUAUUUCUCAGGGCCACAGACAUGAUAUAGGCUAUUACAAAUUUUAGGCUGUUAUAAAUGUAUACACUACCUGACUGGUCAAAAGUUUGGAAUCAUUAUGAUUUUUUAAUGUUUUUGCCAAUAAAUUAAUAAGCUCAGUUUUUAUCAAAAUGCUUUUUAUUUUUGUGAUACGUUUUUUUCAGGAUUCUUUGAUAGAAAAUUCAAAAGAACAGCAUUUAUUUGAAAUAGAAAUCUGUUGUAACAUUAUAAAUGUCUUUACUGUCACUUUUGAUGAGUUUAACCCUCUGGUGCAUGUCAGUCAAAAAUGACUGAUUUUUAAAAUAUUUUUAUUUUAUUUUUAUUUGAGCAUGUACCUGAACAUGACAUUUCCAACUUAAACUGUCAUAAAUCUUGAAUGCUUUAGAGCACA